rnacentral:tRNA from 1 species
GGGUUCAUAGCUCAGUUGGUAGAGCAUCAGACUUUUAAUCUGCUGGUCGUAGGUUCGAGCCCUGCUGGACUCA